AAAUACUAUAUUCAUUCACCUAAAGGUCUGUAAGGAAUAUUCUGGCCUUUACAAAACAAAGAAAACCUAGAAAAUUGAACUGUAUAUCACAGGAAUGGACCUGGAAACAAAAAUUUUAUCCAGAAGAAUUUCCUUUUCUCCAAGUUCCUAGAUCAUUUUCUACCCAUGCCAGAAAUUUGACUAACUUUCUCCAUUAAGAGCAUGUAACCACUAUUGAAGCAAAGAGAUGUCUCUAGUUUUAGAGAGAUGGAGUACAUAAAGUUUCCCCAUGUGUCACAGGAGACAUACCUGGAAAAUUCACUCUCGAAACUGGUCAAUGUAUGGAAGCUGUUUUGAGGAAGACCAUUGCAGUUCUCAGUGACAUCAUCAUUAGGCCCUCCAUGAAAAAAUCUUUUGUAACCUGGAGAGCCCUAGCUUCUCUUGUGAUGUCACAAGUGUUGCCAUGUCUGCAAAUGCCUCUUGGAUAUUCCUUCAGUACUAUAGGGUUUAAUAAUUGGCCUGUAGUUCAGAGGAAACAUCAAUUUGGGAGUGAGAACAAAGAAUAUGAAAACCUCAGAGAUGUGGAGAAGGAAGAUGGCCUCUGUCUUGGUAUGAAAAAAAGGAAAAAUAUGUCUACCCUGGGAAGACUCACUGCGUCCUUGGUAGGAGUUGAGUAGUUGUUGAAUUAGGGUAUGGACUGAAGAAGCCGAAGAGGAGGGCAGCCUCUAUAGGAAGACCACCAGUCUCGAAUCAUCCCCACGCCUGAGAUCUCCCAGACACUUGACCACCAAUCAGGAUCUGCUGGGAAGCCAUCAUCCCAACCUUCCACCAUCAAUGAGGAAGUACAACAGAUUAAGAAGAUGGAGAAAUUGACUAAUGAGCUCCAGAAGAUGACCUAGGCAGGACAUGAAGAAUGGAUACGAGUUUGAUAAGAUACUAUUUAAUUUCUCAGAAAAGCAGAAGCUGUGUUUUGAAUAGCAGUCUUGGGAUAUGGCAAGUAAUGUGUGAGCUCUCAUCAUGGAUUUCAAUAGACAGAGAAUGCAUUUCUGUCCUCAGAGGAACACAGAAAGCUGUUUCUUCACUGAUAUGAACCUUGUGAGAAUGGAGGGAGGCAAGGAAAUCCACAGACAACAACUUUCUACAUUCCAGAAGAUCAAGGUCUUCUCAUAAAAAAAAAAAUCCUUACAUAUCUACAACCACCCUUGCUUGGAGAAAGGAGUUAACUGUUAUGCCUACUUUGAAUGAAGAGGAAGAUAUAAGGCUACACUCCUCAGAGAAACAAGAUAUCAGGUAGUGUAGGAAGAAAUACACAACUAGGUAAUAAUAAAUGUUCCAAGCUAUCCUGUGCAGUAAA